GCGGGCCGCCAGCGAGGGAAGAGGCAGGGAGACCUCCUUCCCAGCCUCCAUUUCUAGAGUCGCAAAAUGGGAAUAAUGGUGCCAGCCUGUAGUAAGGCUGGGACGACAGGGGAGGUGCAGGAACUGGAGGCACGUGAUGGUGAUGGGAUCAGUGAGCGUAAGGAGUGAGAGCCCCAAAGCCUGUGGUCCCCAAAUGCAGGGGGAGAGGUGGUCACUGCCCCAGAUUGUAGGGCCUGUUGAAUCGGCCAACGCCGGGUCCUGAGACUCCUUGCUCCACCACAUUCUCUUCCUGGAAAGCAGUUUAAGAUAUUUUAUUCGAUCAGAGGCAGCAGCAACCUCCCAGCCAGAAGUGGGUAAUGGCCGAGAACUCCAGCGGACACCGGGUGCGGGACAAGCCCCCGAGCUCGCCCUGAAGGCGGUGUGCACUGGCCCACCCAGCCGCGAGCCUCCUGGCCGAGGCUAGGGCCAAACCCUGGCGGCAGCGGCAGCCGCGGCCUGCAGGGGGCGCCCGGACGGAACGCGUGGCCCCGCCCCCUCACGUGCCCGCGGCGUCACGUAACACCCGGAAGCAGCGGCCGGAGCGGAGCCGGCAGCAAUGAGCGGGGACGCGGGGCCGGCGUCUGCAGCGCCCCAUCCCGGGGAGCUCGAACCGGGCAGUGGGGUCCGCAUCGUGGUGGAGUACUGGUGAGCGGCUCCGGCCGUGAACCCUGCGGCUUUGAGGCGACCUACCUGGAGCUGGCGAGCGCCGUGAAGGAGCAGUACCCUGGCAUCGAGAUCGAGUCGCGCCUGGGGGGCACAGGGGCCUUUGAGAUCGAGAUCAAUGGACAGCUGGUGUUCUCCAAG